rnacentral:lncRNA from 1 species
CUAAGUUUGUAAGCCCUCGCACGCCUACCCAUUGUUCUGGGUUAGAAGCGGGCUCAUAUUGCACACACUCCUUGACUCUUUUUUAUGCGAUUGAAUAAGCUUUGGGUGGUCAAUAACAGUGAAAGGUAAAGAAGAAGAUGAAUGUGGAAGGCAAAGAGUAUAUGCGAUUUGCUUUUUCUAAAGGUAAUUAAUUAUCUAGUUAUGCUCCCACCUAAGCAAAUGAUGCUAGAGGUUCUGUACACCUGGAUAAAGAUUUCUUGCAACUGUACUACGUGAAAACCUUAUCAAACAAGUUUUAUAAAUCAAAUGUACAUGUUCAAACGGAUAUAGUCAUGAUUUUUAUUAUCAAGAGAUUCUAUAAAUCAUAUUCGAUAACCGGGCCAGCCUGCUAUGCCGGUUGAGGUCGGUAAGACCUUCAAAUUAAGCUCGAUGGAUGCUGUUUAUCAAGUUUUGUUAUUUUUCUGUGUUUAAUUUUGGGUUUUUAGCUUUAUUUUCCUAUAUGCUUUAGAUUCAGUCUUCAUUUUCUGCUUGGGGCCGGUUACAGGCAUAUUUAAGCCAUUCCAAUCUUUUUUUACUAGCGGAUAUAUGGAGAGGAUAAUAACUGAGAAAUGACAGGCGUGUAGGGUUCUUGUUUCUGCCCUUUUCCUUUUUCUUUUUGUUUUCUUGUUCUUUCUAAUUAGGUUCGGCCGCGCCACCAUAGCUCAAGGCAGUUAACUGCUCUGCACUUUAGCACUCUGCAACAACGUGAAUUGUCCCUUCAGCAAGCAAUAACCCAAAGUAAUCGGGUUUCUUCUGGGUUAUUUUUUUACAGAAGACUAACAAUGCUUGAAGCUGCAAAGAGUAAUUCUAUAGUCUUUUGUUACGUGUUUUCCAGCAAAACAAUGUUUAUAGAUGCAGAAGAAAUCACUGAAAAACACUUUAAAUAGAACAGGAAAUUGUACAUUAAUAUAUUGCAAAUGCUUAGAGAGAAGCCUUAUUGAAGUAGUGAUAUAGGAGACAUCAAACACGUAUAUAGGACAACUUGACUGCAACAACAGAUAGGUAUGCUUGGUAAAUGGAAGAUAAAGUAGGUACUUGUAGAGUGGAUAAUAAGCCUGCAGCCCCAAGAAACUUGUGAAGUCAUCUCAGGAAGCUGUAGAAGGCCUGACCAAUUGCUCAUAGACAUAGUUAAUCAUUCUGGAUUUGGAUUUCACACUGCCGAGCCACUAUAUUUCCUUGCAGCCUCUCUGCUGUCAAUGGUUGAUGUGUAACUAUCAUCUCUUGUAUAUGGCCUGGAUGAAUAAUUGAAGUUGCCAUAUCGCCUUGCAGCUUCCUUGCUGUCAAUGGUAUUUGCAU